GGGGUUGUGGCUCAGUGGUAGAGUGCUUGCCUAGCACGUGCGAGAGGCCCUGGGUUCGAUUCUCAGCACCA
rnacentral:tRNA from 1 species